GUCUAAGGAAGAUGGAAUUUCUAAGCCUGGUGUGGUUGGGGUGCACAUGGGGCAUGCCUUGCACCUUGGUGAGUCUCGGCCACCUAGGCUCGCCUCAUGAAGAUCACUCACCUGAAGAGCUUCAAGGCAUUGAGCCGGGAGCUUGGGUCGCCUUGCACCUCAUGAGCACCUAGGGCGCACCUUUAACAACUAUUCUACUGAGGAUCUAGAACAAUUCAAGGAAGACAUGAUAAAGAAAACUGAUAGUUAGGGCAUCAUUCUUGAAGAAUUGCGAGCCUAUAUAAUUGAAAAGAAGAAUAAGGGAGCUAGUAGUUCUUGUGAGGGUGGAAGUAGAUUUGAAAAUGUUGGAUCUCAGUCAGU
rnacentral:misc_RNA from 1 species